CGAACGCUGGCGGCAUGCUUACCACAUGCACGUCGCGCGGGUGGUUUCGGCCAUCAGCGGCGGACGGGUGAGUAUCGCGUAGGAAUGUAUCCCGAGGUGGGGGACAACCCUGGGAAACUGGGGCUAAUACCGCAUGGGGCCUGUGGGUCAAAGCCUUAGGGCGCCUUGGGAGCAGCCUGCGUCCGAUUAGGUAGUUGGUGGGGUAAAGGCCUACCAAGCCUGCGAUCGGUAGCUGGUCUGAGAGGACGAUCAGCCACACUGGGACUGAGACACGGCCCAGACUCCUACGGGAGGCAGCAGUGGGGAAUAUUGGACAAUGGGCGCAAGCCUGAUCCAGCAAUGCCGCGUGGGUGAAGAAGGUCUUCGGAUUGUAAAGCCCUUUAGGCGGGGACGAUGAUGACGGUACCCGAAGAAGAAGCCCCGGCUAACUUCGUG
rnacentral:rRNA from 1 species